rnacentral:rRNA from 1 species
CGGAAUGCUUUACACAUGCAAGUCGAGCGGCAGCGCGGGGGCAACCCUGGCGGCGAGCGGCGAACGGGUGAGUAACAUAUCGGAACGUACCCAGUCGUGGGGGAUAACUAUCCGAAAGGAUAGCUAAUACCGCAUACGACCUGAGGGUGAAAGCGGGGGACCGUAAGGCCUCGCGCGAUUGGAGCGGCCGAUAUCGGAUUAGCUAGUUGGUGAGGUAAAGGCUCACCAAGGCGACGAUCCGUAGCUGGUCUGAGAGGACGACCAGCCACACUGGAACUGAGACACGGUCCAGACUCCUACGGGAGGCAGCAGUGGGGAAUUUUGGACAAUGGGGGCAACCCUGAUCCAGCCAUUCCGCGUGAGUGAAGAAGGCCUUCGGGUUGUAAAGCUCUUUCAGCAGGAACGAAACGGUGGUCCCUAAUACGGGCUACUAAUGACGGUACCUGAAGAAGAAGCACCGGCUAACUACGUGCCAGCAGCCGCGGUAAUACGUAGGGUGCGAGCGUUAAUCGGAAUUA